rnacentral:lncRNA from 1 species
GCCCGUAUACCAUAUUAACUUGAAAGCGGUUUCCAGUAACAUGCCCAUCAUGAGAUGGAUCCUAAUGUAGCGAGACAAAGCUUUGUUCUUCACAAUUCCAGCAUAUCCAAAGUAGCAAUAUAUCAUUGAGAACCAUGGAGGUAAUCUCUUUAUGGCUCCCGGGACGAAAUAAAUCAAGUUUUCGAACAUUUCGUAAUGUUCUAGGAAGGGAUGAAGAAAAUAUCCGGUACCGGAAGUCUGCAAAGCUAUUAGAUAUGGAAUACAGGCUAAAGUCCUCAGCCACCAUUCAGGCUUCUCGGUUAUUACAGGGUAGCAAAAUUUGGAUAUGUCAUCCUUAUAUGCUCUUGGUAAAGAGAGAGAUCUCGACCGUAUAGGUAAAACAUUCGUUUUACACCGUGCGCCUGCGAACGGAUUAUGAACUAUCAAAAUAUACAUAAUUUAGAGUAUAAGUCUUACAUUCUAAGGCAAUACAAAUUAGAGUACCUGUAGAAGACAAGAAACCCUGUGAACCACUGUUGCUUGACAACAGAGGAUUGGCCUGAAAACUUGGGCUUAAUGCAACAACCGAGGACUUAUUUCUCGGGUUGUGUCGUUUUAAAUUAGGAUCUUUAGACCUGGUGAGUACAAACAUGUUAUCAAGCAGGACCAGAAGCAUACAAGAAACAAGCAUGUAGGAAUGUCCUGAGCAAUUAAAUAACCAAAGGAUUUCCAACAAAUUUAGCAGUCAAUUCCCAUUAACAAGAAUAUAGCAAACUAAAAGUUUCACAUUUAACUAUGGAACAUAUUCAUUCAAAUGCCUAAAUCACAAUAAUGAAGAGAUAAAAAGAGCCAAGAAGAAACAAAAGGCAUAACCUAAGAUGGACGAAAACCCUAAAAAGGCUAAACCCGAACCAAACAUACACUCCAUCUUGUCUAAAAAUCACCAAAAUUUUUAAUCAACUUAAAAUUCAGAAACUUCACAGAAUCACAGCCCAUUGAUUAAAAAAAAGACCCAGUAAAUUAAAUUUGAAUGAAGAUGAAAAAGAGUUUACCAAAGAGCGGGGACAGGGGCGAGUUUGGGGUAGCUUGGGGCAGAGAGAGUAGCUGUUGGAGGAGCCAUUUUUUGGACUUGAUGCAAAGAAAAAAAAGAGAAGUUACUUUGCACGCAAGAAACUUGUGAUAUUUAUAGUUAGGGCCUUGUAGUUGCCCAAGUUUCAGAGCCCUGUCGUUGCUGCUGAGUGAGAAAAAGAUGACCGUUUUCUGUUUGUUCUAGAAUAUGCAUCUGUUAUUGACUUUCCUUUUUAAAUUUAUUUGUUACAUAUAAAUACAUCUCAUCAAUAUUUUUAGGGAUUGGUGAAGUUCUUUUUCGCUCUCUCCUUCCGGACAAUAAUUCUUGCGCUUUUAUAAAGUAUGGUUUUUUAAUUUGAUAGUGAAUGCACGUUCUCUUUUUAUACAAAAAAAAAAAAAUUUAUACACAGAUGACAUGUCAAUAUUUAAUUAAUUUUUAAAAUUUUUAAAAAUUAUAAAAAAAAGAUAUUUUUAAUAUGUUUUAAUUUUUAAAAAAUUAAUUAAAUAUUGGCAUGCCAUCACAUGACAAUCCAUGUGUAUGUGUCACAUCAAUAAAAUUAACAAACAUUAACUUUUCUAUCUAUUUUAGGAUUGUUUGAUAAAAAAACGUAAGUUUAAUGACUAAAAGAGACAAAAAAUAAAUAAAUGACUAAAAUAAGUUUUUUUUUUGUAAAGUUGGAGGGCAAAAAAAAUCAUCAUGCCAAUUUAAACAUACUUUGAUUGAAAUAGUGAUACGGAUAGUGCAGAAUAGGAUCGUAAAUUUGUCCAAGUCGCGGAUUUGACAUAGGGCUCUACAUGAUCAAAAAAUAAAUAGAUUUUGACACAACCUGAAACGUUAAUAAAUUCAAGUCAAAACCAAGAAUUUACAAAAUAAAGGAAGCAACUAAAAUAGAUAAUUAAAUAAAUCAAAUAAUCAAAUAAUUAAACAAGAAGAAAAUAGUAAGAAAAUAAAGAAGAUAGAUAAAAAAUAUAUAUGAAUGUGACAUGUACAAGUCCUAAAGAGUCUUCGAAACAAAAAGAAUUCACAACUCCCUUCGAAAGCUCUAAUUUAUCCUCUAAAAAAUGAAACUUGGCAAGAAAAUGUUUGAAAAUGAUCCCAUAAUCUGAAAAGAUUGUUAAAACUCUUUCAAAAGAAAACUCAAAAGAGAAUUUUAUUAACUCAAAGUGAAAAAUGAAUGAAUUAAUUUUGUAUAAUGAAAAGGGCUAAAAAGAAAACUCAAAGAGAAUUUUAUUAACAAAAAUGAAUGAAUUGAUUCUAUAUAAUGAAUAUGCAUUUAUAUAGGCAAAUAUAAUAUUGGACUAGUAUAUAAAAAAAUUAAGCCUAAAAUUCGAAUCCAAUAUGAUUUAAACUUAUUAAAAAGCUUAAAACUCGUAAUUUCUGUAAUAGUCUCAUCUAGAAAUUUUGCACGCGCAAUCUUUACUAAAAUAAUCAUAACUUAAGCUCCCGCACUUGAAAUCGAGUGAUUCAAAAUGCACUUCAAAGCUAAGAGAUAACUUUUCAAAUGCUAUGCAGACAUCUAAACUCAUAAAUGUCUCGAUCUCAUCCAAAAAUCCGUCGCAAGUUGAUUAAUCUUUUUAGCUUGAAAAUUGACAGCUUUGUUAAAUUGACUUUAAUAAAUUUCACACAUUCUGUGCAUGUAUCAUUCCUCCUUCCCUUAAAAAGAUUUAUCCUCACAUAUUGUACUUGAUCGAAUAUUGUUUUGAUUUUCUAGACUUCUGACCUUGUUAUUGAGUCUUGAGGUAGUGUAAACUCAUUAUAUUUAUAAGCCUGAAAUUUGACUUUGAGACUCGUAUCAAUUAGUUAAGGGUGAUAUCGGUUUGGUUCAAUUAGUUUUUUUAGAUUUUUAAAUUGUCCAUCAUAAUUCAAUUCAGCUCGGUUCGAUUCUCAAUUUUUUCAUGUUAAUUUUUGUUUUAACUUUUUAGACUUAUUUUGAUAAAAAUAAAUUUUUUGACUUUUCAAUAUUAUUUGACAAAAUUUCAACGUCAUUUCCAUAAAAAUUUCUAAAAAACAAUAAUUUUUCAAAAAUUUAAAAAUUAUUUUCACUAUUUUAAAUGCAAAAUAUUUUUUUAUAUCAUAAAAAUAAACUUUAUUAUAUAUUAGAUAAAAAAAUUCAUCAACCACGUUAAUUUUUAAUGGUGUGAAUGAAUAAAAUUUUUAAUUAAAUGACCAAUUUACUUUUUAAUUUAACAUACAAUAAAUAAUUUAUUCACUUUUUAAGUUACAAUCCAUUUCUUAAUACAAAAACUUCCAUAAUACUUAACAUUUACCAUACAUUUUAUCAUAAUUGAGAAAAGGUAACCUACACAUGGAUAUGUAACCCACAAUCAUUGAAGGUGCCAUAUUUGAUUUUAGCAUCGCAACUAAAAUGUAAAAUUAAAAAAAAAAUAAAAAUUAGAGUGAGAGAUGAUUAAUCAACUUUUCACCACUUAAAAAUUUAAGUGUUGUAAAAUAUAUAUUUAAACUGGUGAUUUUUUUAAUUAAAUUUGAUCAUUAACUUUUUUAAAAAAAUUAAAUAAUUUAAAUUUAAAUGAAAAUGUUAACUUAAAAUAUUAUUUUUUAGUAGUGUUGCACGGUAACAUGUGUGAUAGUUUAUAUGUACUUCAUACAAACAUAGUACUAUAUAAUAGUUCAAAAAAUAUAACAUUUUUUGUCUUACGUCAUAUCAAUAAAUAAAUUAAAUUUUAUAAAAAUAUUCUAAAUUUUUUAAAAAAUCCAUAAACAGCUCAAAGGCAGUAGAAUGAAAUACACAUAGAUUACCAUAUUAAAUGCUUUAAUUAGUAUUUUUGUUAUAAAAAUAGUAAUUCGACUUUUUUAAAAUGUUAAUGGUCAAAUUUCACUCUUUUAAAAAGAUUGCAAAUAGACUUGUUCAUGAGUCGAAAAGUGAGAAGAUUUAAGCAAAUAUAUUAGGCUCGAAAAGUGAGCUUGAAAAAAAAUUAAGUCCAUUUAAAAUAUAGGUUGGGCUUGAUUUUUUUUUUUUUGAGUUUGUAUUGUUUUAUAUUAUAUAAUUUAUAACACUCCUAGAAUAUAAACAUUAUAAAAAACGUUAAGAUGAUUACAUAUAAAAUUUUAAUAAAUAAAGAAUAUUAAAUUAAAAAUAAUAUAAACAUAUUUUAAAAUUUUAAAAAUAAUAUGAGUGAGACCUAAAAUGGGCUUGUACAAAAUUGUAACUCCAUAUUUUGACUCAAGCUGAAUGUAGACAAGCAUAAAAUGUAUUAAUAUCAUAUUUAAACUCAACCCAACCUAUGAACACUUUCAGUUGAAAGCCUAAUGCAGCUAAAAAAAUAAUUAAAUUAAUAAAAAAUAUAAAUAUUAAGGAUUAAAUUUAUCAUUAUGCAUUUUAAUUUUUGUAAAGGUAUAUGUAAGUAAGAAAAAUGAGUAAAAUAAUAAUUUUAUAAUAUAAACUUAAUUAAAUGAUAUGAUAUUAAUUUAAAUUAUAAAUCAUAAUUUAAAAUUUAAAAUGUCACAUAUUCUAAUUUAAUAGAAAUAUAUCUCUAAAAAUAAAACAAUAGUUAUUUUUCUAAUGAAAUUAAUUAAUUAAUUUCAAAAUAAAUGAUAAAGUUUUGUAGUAUUUUUAAAGUGUUUUUUAAAAGUCAUAUAUAAAAAAACUUAAAAAGUAAGUAAAAUACUCUUAAGAACUAUACAACUCCUCAAAUAAACCUUAAGCAAUUGCUUUUGUCCUUUGAAAACCAAACCCAUUAAAGAGCCCCUAGAAUGGUCUCUGAAAACCUCCUACAUUGAACACAGUAUGUAUAUAUGCAGCAUCACUAAUAAAAGGGAUGUGGGCAUACCUGCCACCAAGAGCACACCUAACACAUUCAAACAACACGAGGAUAUAGCCGAAUCCGAUGCCGGCCCAAUAGUGCAUCCCGAAACAGCCAUUAUAGUGUAUGAGCGGGAGAAAGUUGCUCGUAUACCAUAUUAACUGCAAAGCGGUUUCCAGUAACAUGCCCAUCAUGAGAUGGAACCUAAUGUAAUGAGACCAAUCUUUGUUCUUCACAAUUCCAAUAUAUCCAAAGUAGCAAUAUAUCAUUGAGAACCAUGGAGGUAAUCUCUUUAUGGCUCCCGGGACGAAAUAAAUCAAGUUUUCGAACAUUUCGCAAUGUUCUAGGAAGGGAUGAAGAAAAUAUCCGGCAUCGGAAAUCUGCAAAGCUAAUAGAUAUGGAACACAGGCUAAAGUCCUCAACCACCAUU